UGGGGCGGGGGGUCGUCUUUAGUUUGGCUCUUAUAGGCGGAUUCAUUCUGAGUCAUUCCUCAAGGCCAAGCUCACCCUGUGCUCCCGGAAAGACACAAACACCGCCACUGCCACCACAACAAAAGGCGCCUCCCCGAAGUAGGUCUGAUGUCCGCGGGACGGGUGGGCCCGUCGUGGAGCGCACUUCUGCGCCUCUAAUCUCGGGCGUCCAUCUGGCCCGGGCGCGCGGGAGGGCUCCGGGAGGGGCGGGGCCGCGCGUCUCCCAGGCGCGGGCACGCGCGCCCGCUCUCCUUCAUGUUCACCUUGACUGCGGGGGGGCGGGGGAUGGGGCGAUCGUCCCCCUCCCCCCCACUGCUCUCCCAACCCCCCGCAGCUGUCCUGCCCAGACGCCCGCCCAGGCGGGGUGGGGGAGGCUGCACCGGCGCUCAGGUCGCCGCAGCGGCCCGGCAGCCGCGCGCUCUCCGCAGUGAUGUCAACCGCAUCCGCCGCGUCCCCUGCAGCCCUAAAACGCGCCGCGGCCCGCGGAAACCCCAGCCCGGCGCCUCCCGCCAGGGCCGAGGAGGAGAGGGCGCGCGGGUCCCCGGAGUCCCCCACUCCGUCUGCCUAAGCCGUGGAGACCGGGAGUGGACGCACGGCGGUGCCUGGACCCCCGGGGAGGAGGAAGAAGAGGAGAGGGAAGGGGGCUGUGGAGUCAGGUGUCGAUUUGACGCCCGCGGCCGCCGAGGGGACUCUGCCCGGGACUGGUGCCACCUGGGGGGCGUUCAGGGAGCGUGGGGCGCCGACCGCUGCAGAUGGGGCGGCGCGCGUGGGCUCGGGCAGGCGCCCCCUUUUCCCGGGAUAGAAACGGAUAAACGGAAGCGCGUGUGAGUGUGGGGGUGCGAAUCGCCACCUCCGGCCUUGGCUUUCCCGCUCUUCCGAGCUCUCCCACUUCUCACUUUCCCCAAAUCCGCAUUUUCCUUGGCACAGCUCUCCCCGAGCACGAAGGAGAGGGAGGUACCCGGGGGCAGUGAGAAUGACGUGUGCUGGUGCAGAGGGGGUGGGGGUCUGCGGGCCUGGAUCUGUGGACGGGCUCCUAAUCCUCUUGUUUUCGGAACCGUCAGCAGAUGCGGCUUCCUUUACCUGAAUAAUCCUUUAAAGGAGUAAUAAUUUUUAAAAAGGAGCUCGACCUCAGCCAAAGAGGACGGCGCACGAGAUUAGGGCUUGUAGAUCCACUGCCUUUGGUUGGGCCGGCUGAAUCGCUGGGGACUGCGGCCAGUCUCUUAAAAAGGAGAACAAAAAGCCGAAGACCUUGUGUGGCCGCCGGGACAAAGCACCUUGGGUUCGGCGAGAAGGGACGCGCAGGAGCGCUGAACCCAGAACACGCGUGGCCGCUGCGGAAGGGCGUCCGCCCGGCGUGCGGAACGCUGAGGGGACUCUCAUCUUCUGUCUCGCCCCCUUUUUUUGACCCGGGAAUCCAGCCGCAUUAUACACGAGUGACCUUUUAAAUCUACGUCCACCCUUUACCUGCGAGAGGACUGCAGCAGGCGAGUUCCGGAAGGCUGAAUCCCCAGGUCCCAGCCCCGGACCGCGGCAACUCGCCCCUGCGGCACGCCCGGCCCGGCUGCGCCCCCACUCAGCGAUGGAGGUAAAGAGGCGGCGGCCGCGCGCCCAGCCCCGGCUGCCGCUGCCGAGCCACCGCUGCUCUCCUUGUCCUUCGCUCUCUUCUUCUUCCUCCUCUUAGCCCCCUUCAGUUUCCUGGGCAAAGCACAGGGCGACAUGGGUGGGUGGGUGGGUUUGCUGCGCUGGGGCGAGGUGGGGUCGAUGUUGUUUUUUCAUUGUCUGGAGCUGCAGGGGAGGCGAGGCGAGGGGAAAGGGGCGAGGGGAGCCGGGGUAAUUAACACGGGGGAGGCACCCCUCCGUCUCCCACUUCCACCCACACCCCCAUCCCUCCACCCCCUCCGCUUUGCAGGAAAAAGCCUGGAUGCGAAAGGAUGGGGGAGAACAAAGAGCCUUUGGAAGACGUCGCUGUUAUCUCAUUGUCUGUGUGAUUGGGGGAGCUGCGGCGGGGAGGAUGCUGUGGUCCCUUCCUCCGGCGCUCCCCACCCCCAUCCCUCUCCCCGCUGUCAGUGCGCACGCACACGCGCCGCUUUUUAUUUCUUUUUCCUGGUUUUCUUAUUCCAUCUUCUACCCACCCCUCUUCCUUUCUUUCACCUCUCCUUCCUUCCUUCCUCCUUUCCUUCCUCAGGAGAAAGGCCUCUCUCUCCGUGUUCACAGCGGACCUUGAUUUAAAUGUCCAUACAAUUAAGGCACGCGGUGAAUGCCAAGAAUGGGGCUGGCUGAGCACCGUGGGUCGGCGAGGGCCCGCCAAGGAAGGAGCGACCGACAGAGCCAGGCGCCCUCCGCAGACCUCCGCGCAGCAGCCGCGGGCGCGAGGGGAGGGGUCUCGAGCUCCCUCCGGCUGCCUGUCCCGCACCGGAGCCCGUGGGGUGGGGAGGUGUGCAGCCUGUGACAGACAGGGGCUUAGAGAUGCAGACUCAGGGAGAGAAACAGAAGCUGAUUCUGUGACAGAAGCAGAUCUGUGCAGCACAGAUGCGGUGUGCGUGGGGAGGGGGUCGCCUGGGAGCGCAUUGCGGAGUGCUUGUGUGUGCAGAUUUUUCUCUGGGCUCAGGACUCAUUGUAUGUGGGUCAACACCUUCCUCCGUGACUGUGUUUUUGUUCUGAGCUGAGUUUUUUGGUUUGCCCUUAAAAAAAUAAUAAUUUGGCAUCCAGAGACUGGCAGACUGCCUCAGGGCCUGGACUGCGGAUAUAUUGUGUUCUGCUUGAGGUUUGGGGAGGAGGGCAGGCGGUUGGAAAGGAGAGGGGGAGCUGUUUGUCACCCUUUGCUGUAGAGCUGAGAGCACCUGACAAGCUUAAGGAAGUCGUUGGGCUAUGUGGACAAGAAGGAGCCAGCUCCCAGCGGGUUCACAAGCUCCAUCGGAGCUGAAAGCGUGGUCAUGGCUCUAAGGAGCACCUCACGCCCUCCCUGUAGCUGUUAUUGCAGUUUCAGGCAGAGAUCCAGGAGCUGCAGAGGAAGGGAGAGGCACAAUAACCUACAUGGACCCAAGGGAGACAUGUGUUCCUUUAAAAAUGUGAACAGAAGGAAAAACAGAAUGUGUGCAACUGGGGGUCUGAGGAAAGACUGUUUUGAAAGAGGCUGUCAGGGAAUGGAAAGGGUUAAGCUUUUCAUCCUGAAGAACCUGCUUCCCAAAUCAGGCCUUCUUCCCAUCACUAGACCCUGAGCAGCAGCUGGUCCUACAGACCCCCCUCGUACUGCGCUGCCACAAUCUCAUCCCAUUUCCAGCUCUGUAUUAACCACCAAGCUGCAGCGGAUGGGGCAAGACCUAAGCUCAUUAAUUUCCAGGUGGAGGAAAUGGAGGAGGGGCAGGUCCCUGCAGUAGAGGGAGGAGCAGAGAAAGGAGGCCAAGAGCUGGAUCCUUCUGCCCAGGAAGCCUGCUGCAUCCCUUCCCCCGAGCGUGGCAGAGGCCUGGCUUUGCAAGGCCAAGGCCAUAAGGGAUGCUUAGGAGAUUAAUUUGAUUCCUGACACAAUAAUCAAGGCCUAAGAGUCUCCACUGAAGCUUACUGAGGACUUCUUUCCUCUCCAAAGCCUCAGUCUAGCCUGCUAAAUAAAUUAGUAUUCAGUGAUGCCUUGGAUCAGGGCCCCUCCCCGACCUCAGUUCCCCCAAAUAUUUAUUAAGUACCUACUAUGUGCAAUCCUUGUGUAAUUAUUACCUCUUAGGCUCUUCAUUUGCCCUCCUAAGGCAGUGUUUAGAGUCAGGCAGAGGUUAAUUGUGUUGCACCUCAUCUAGAUACUUCCAGAACCUUCUCUGGGUCUGCAGAAUGUGGCACAACCUACUUGCCCCCGCAGAGAGAAAGCUGCAGUGCACAUCCUGCAGACUGCAGGUGCUGGGCUGCCUCUGGAGUCCCAGAAGGCAAGCUUGGCUGCAGGUCAGAAAGGGAGAACAGCUUCUCUCACCCCUGAGCCUUCACAAGCCCUUGUCUAUUUGCUGUUGCCUUCAAAAUAUACCUCCCCCGAAACCAGUAGCUUUCUGAGUCCUGGUGUCUCCUCCGCCCUUUCUGGACAGGUUUGGGAACAAGAAAGCAGUCAGUGCUGGGCCUCAUUGGGUUGUAAAGCGCCUUGCUCUGCCCCCUCUGCUCACUGUGAAGGCUGCUGGAUGCUUCUCUUAGGCAUGGUUUAAGCCUCCGAUUACUAAACUCCUUGCCCCACAAACGUCCACAUUGACGAGCCUCUUUUUAGUAACUGCUUCCCCGUAAUUCCUUCAGAGGUUGCUGUACCCUUCGCUGACGUGCCCUCCGGUAAAACCUCCAGAUGCCUUCCCACGUAAUGCCCCUUUCAGAUGCUUUAAGCUGAGAGCUUAAACCACAGGUACCAUGGCUGACGCCUGCCAGGUUUCUGCUGCAGAUAAUCUAUGAUGGGAGGGGCAUAUUUUUUACUUCAUUACUUAUGUAAACUCUUGUUCCAGAAAGCUUUAAUGUGUGUGGGAGUGUUCUGGGUCUACUAGGUCUGUGUGCAUGGGUGUGGGCAUUUGCCUGUGUCCACCGGGUGGGUCUCAUUACGAAAUGUAUGUUUAUGUAGGGCUUUAAUGGCUGAAGAUGGCAAAGAGAUGAAUAGACCACUUGGCCCCAUGUGUAAUUGCCAGGCCCCUUCUGUGCUCAAAUGAGGUGUCCGAGUGAAGGUCAGCCCUUCCCUUCUGUAUUUGGGGCCUAUUUAUGCCACCAGUAAUUUUACAAGAAACCUGAAUAGUUCUCCCCUUUGAGUGCAUUUAACUCUUUAAUAUCUUCUCUCUUACCUAUUUGAGCCCCUCUAGCUACAGUCUGGCUUAAAUGAAAGGGGAAUUAUAUGGUUAAGAAAAAGUAGGACACGGUUGAGGCAGUUUGCUGACUGAAUACGUGAAAAAGGACCUGAUGGGCUCAUAUGCACCACUGCCAUCACAGUCCUCAUCGUGAUGCAAGCUUAUAUGAUUCUUGAGGUAACUCUACCAGAUACUUCCAGAUUUAGAAAUGUGUCAAAGGAAAAAUUGGUGAUACUCUUCUUUCCCCUGCCAGAAACAGCCCAGAUCUCCGCUUAAGCGGAAAAGAGAUUGACCUUCUAGCAGAGGCAAAGGUAAACUCCUGUAAGUUACUUCUGUUACCAAAGGGAUGGGGGCGGCUUUUGUGAGUGUAUGAGGAACUUUUGCCAGAGAGAUAUUCGGAGGAGGGGUGUGCCCAUAUGCACACAUACAUUUUCCCGCAUAACCGUAUCCAAUGCUAGCAUUUAGAGGAAGGCAUUUAGCCACCAAAAGUCCAUCCAUCUAUGCUGCUUCCACAGAGAAAACAUUUUCUCUUUCCUCCUCUUGAACUUACAUAAUAUCCUCCUCCCAUUCCAACCUUAGAAUGGAGUCUUCUGGGGGCAGCUGCAAAGCGUUCUCCCUAGGACAGAUGGAGCCUCCCUUUCCUCAUCUAGUCUGUGGGUGGUUUCGGGGCCCAUGAGUCAACAUGAGGAGUUGUGCUGGUGGUAUGUGUGUUGGAGGCUGGGCUGGCUGAUUCACAGUGACGAGGAUGUCAAUAAUAACAAGAAUGAGAAUGAUGGUACCUAAUAAAGACUUUUUUUCCCAAGUCCCAUCUACAAUUCUUUCAUUGGGUGUUUUGCCAAGUCUUUCUCAAUCUCAUUUCAGCUUUUUUUUUUUUUUUAAAGAAAAUGUAUUCAAUACUUAAUUGCAUCACAAAUGUAGACAUAGAAGAAAGGACUUCAAACGGAAUUUAUGGGAGGCAAUGUGUGCGGCUUUUUGCCUUAUAGAGCUGUGUAGAAGGUCUGGAAUGAUCUUCCAGCACCAAAUUUAGAUGGCCUCAAAAAAAAAAAAAAAAAAAUCAGGCCUUAUUGAGGGCAAGGAAUGUUCCAGGUCAGAAAUAAAAGUGUCAGCAACUCUCAA